rnacentral:tRNA from 1 species
UUAAUAGAAUCUAUAAUAGUAUUUCAUUGUUGAUGAAAAGGUUGAGAAUUUCUCCUAUUAAUA